UGUGGUUUUCCCCCCAAGGUGACUAAGAUCAGCUACAGGUAUAGAUCAACUCAUUAUGUCCUCUUAGGAGUUCACAUUUCCUGAUAACCGGCAGUCAAACCAGGGAAGAUACUGAAGCAUAAACAUCAAGCAAGAUGUAAAACAGGUAAAUGGAUAUCUGACAACAGUAUUUUCCAGUUACUUAAAGAGGAAAUCAUCAUGGAGUCUACGCUGCAAAGGUGAUGAAGGAUGAUGGAAUUCUAAAGUUGCUGUUUAUGGUUUAUGCUGUUUAUGGAUGACAGUGUAUGGAUUGAUUACAACAUCCCUGGAACUGAAAGGAAGCCCUGGAUCUCUUCAAGGUUCAGCUCAAAUGACAUUCCUUCAUGAAGCCUCUCCCAAGUUUGCUAAUAGUCAACGGUGAGGAACCACAGGAAAAAAAACUGUUAUUUAUUGUGUAUGGAUUUUGUAUUGAUAUAUUCAAGCAGAUAUUAGUUUCCUUCCUUCAGACUAUAACGUCUUCAAGGAUGGUAAUUGUCUUCUUUUAAUAUUUGUGCACCUAACACCAGUGCUCACACACAGUAGGUUGCUUGAAUGUUUGUUGAAUUAAAUUGAAUUGCCUACUGUAUGAAAGGCUUAGAUUUUCAAGAAUCAGAAUUGUUUUUUUUCUAGAAUUAUAAAAUAAUAAAAUCUUAGAGUUAGAAGAAACCAGAAACCAUUUAGUCUAACUUGUAUCUGAUUAAGAACACCUCUCUAUACAGUGGUUCUUAAUCUGAGGUCUAUGAACUCCUUCUGUGGAUAUAUUUAAGAGUGGUGGUAGUUCAUGAACUCGAAUAGGAAAACAUUACAUUUUUAUUAUCACUCAUUAUCA